UACAGAGGGGGCAAGCGUUGUUCGGAAUUACUGGGCGUAAAGGGCGCGUAGGCGGCCUGCUAAGUCGAACGUGAAAUCCCCGAGCUCAACUCGGGAACUGCGUCCGAUACUGGCAGGCUUGAAUCCGGGAGAGGGAUGCGGAAUUCCAGGUGUAGCGGUGAAAUGCGUAGAUAUCCGGAAGAACACCGGUGGCGAAGGCGGCCUGCUGGGCUAUGGCUGACACUGAGGCGCGACAGCGUGGGGAGCAAACAGGG
rnacentral:rRNA from 1 species